rnacentral:misc_RNA from 1 species
CUUUUGCAGACAAUCCAGAGCAGUGACCACGAUUCUUGGUGACUUGCUUUGACAGGCCAAUUCAAAGGGCAGAAAAUACUUUUCUGCAGAGAUAACAUAUGAAUCACUGCGAGGCUGUGGCAAAGCGGUUGACACUUGAGUGCCUGAGCCUUCUUUGAUUUCAUUUCUCAAGUUAUCUGAAAAACAAUCAAGUGCAGUCUCGCAGGAUUUUCUGAGCUGAGAGAGGUGCGACCGUUUGACAUCCCGGUCAGCCAGGAUCUUUUCCAAAGCUCUGAUAAUGAACAUCUCUUUGGAGUUAUCUCGCAUCGUCGCCGGGCCGCGCUGAUUCCUCUGCUACGCUGGCACGGGAGCACACGCGACUCGAUCGAAGUCUCGCAUCUUUACCACCGUGAUUUGCAUACUGGUUCCUCGUACAUCGUUUUGCACCACCUUCUGGAGGCAGAAGUCAUCCGCGGAAACCUCUGCGGCACUGUCGAUGAAACGCGUAUCGAUUAGGAGCUUUACCAACGACAAAUAGGUGGAACAACGAUAUUUCAAAUGAGUUUCGUCUUGAGAUUACGUUUCAAUCCAUUUUUCACGAAAUCAUGUGAAACGAUGACGAAACUCCGAAAAAUGACAGCAAACUUUCGAAACAGCGGAGAAACCACACAAGAGACAGGCUGAAACGACGAAGGAGGCUCAAGUGGCGCCCUCCACACACAUACACACGCAUGCAUACACCUACUAGUUACUUAUGAGUAAUCUAGGAAUCCCUAUAUAAAUACCGUACAUACUGGGCUUAAAACUUUAGUAUAUAUUAUUAUUUAUAUUAUUAUUAUAU